rnacentral:rRNA from 1 species
AAUACCCAAUCCUGACACAGGGAGGUAGUGACAAGAAAUAACAAUACGGGGCUUAAUGUCUUGUAAUUGGAAUGAUGGGAAUUUAAACCUCUUCCAGAGUAUCAAUUGGAGGGCAAGUCUGGUGCCAGCAGCCGCGGUAAUUCCAGCUCCAAUAGCGUAUAUUAAAAUUGUUGCAGUUAAAAAGCUCGUAGUUGAAUUUCUGCUGCAUUGCUUUUGCUCCUUUACGAGUCUUUGCAUUGUGGCUUAUUUCGGACUUUGUUUUACAAUGUCCGGAUGUUUACUUUGAGAAAAUUAGAGUGCUCAAAGCAGGCUUUCGCCUUGAAUAGUUUAGCAUGGAAUAAUAAAGUAGGACUUUGGUUCUAUUUUGUUGGUUUUAGGUACCAAAGUAAUGGUUAAUAGGAACAGUUGGGGGCAUUCGUAUUUAA